GAAGAUGUCGAUAAGGUAACACUGGUUAUUUGACAUUUUGCAACCCUUUUGUUAUUGUCAGAAUUAAUAGAAUUUAACAAUAAUUUUAAUAUUGAAUUAAACUAUUUUUCCAUUAUAUAAUGUAAAAUAAAUUUGUACAAACGAAUUAGUGAAGUGUUAGUGGAUAUAAAAGUGAAAUAUAUAAGUGUAUAAUUCAUUUGAAAUCGAAAAUUUGCGGACUUGAAAUAGUUGAAAUUUUCCCCCGGCUAUACCUAUGUAUAUAUAUUCUUGAUAUGGAGGAUCUCCUCUAUCCGCUCAUACCUAUUUUAUCCCCGAAAGCCUUUGACGGUAUACUAAAGUUUUCCCGAGUUCAGGAUUACUCCAUCCGCCGUUCAUUUAUAUAUAUUGCAACUAAAAACCAGAAUACACCAGACAGAUUGCAUAAAUAAAAUCACUUGUCACAAUGAAACGGUAACAGAAAGAAAAAGCAUCGAUAUAACACAAAUGUGCUGUCUGGAUUCGCCUGCCCUAUCCAACUGCAGCACAACUAAUGAGCCUCCGAUUACAGUAAAUAGUACGUAGUUAGUUGUCUUCAAAGACUUCUUAAACCUGAGACACCACAUGUUCUUGCAAUUAACCUAACACAACAUUCAAAGAUACAGAAAGAGCCUGACCUCCAUCAUGUGAACAGAAUUUAUAAGCGUGAUUUUAUGAUAUUUUGUGUUAUUUAUCCUAAUUGACAAAUCCGUAGAUUAAGAACUGUUUACGAUUAUUUGUGUUCACCAACACAGUUACAUUUUGUAUCAAAAACAGAUAAACAUUUAUUUAAACAUACACAAUAUGUAAUUUGUCAAAAGGCAUCAUUGAAAACUUCUCGCUUACUUUGCGCAUGCACCGAAUUGAGACGUCAUAUGAUUUUUUUAUUAUGUGCAAUAAAUGUACGUAACCGUUGACGCAUAUAUUUAUGACGUAAUACUUGAUAUAAACAUAAUUGUGUAAAUACCUUUUGUGGGUAGUAAAAACAGAAUUAUUAUUCAUCAUAUAUUUCAAGAGGAUGAACUUCUUAAAACUACUAGUCUAGUAAGCUCGAUUUGAACUUCGUUCGAAAAUUUAUUCACAAAACUGCAAUCACUAGGAAGUACGAUGCGUCUCUUUUCAAAUAUUUAUUAUGGUGUUUAGUUUGCACAUGGGUACAAACAUACUUGCAUGUAUUUUUCCAUGUAAGUAUAUAUCUUGAAAACGCUGUAUUUCAGGUUUAAAUGUAAUCGAUGAGCUGGAUGACGUGUUCAUCAAACUUCUUCAUUAGUAAUUGAGGGUGCAUCAAAGACGUCAUGAGUUUUGCAACGCUUAUAGUUUAUAUAUGUACAUAGAUAAAGUGCAGUGUAAAACUAACAGUCAAUACGGUCAAGUUGAGCUGUGUCAAAUAAAAUAAGUGAAAUUUAAAAAGUGGUGGCUCCGUUCAAUGGCUCUCCGUAUGCUCUUUUCAAAGUCAAAGGCACCUUGUGACUGGAAAACUACUAAAAAAUUAAAAUUAAUUAAAAACAGUUGUCUUAAGCUCUUACACUCAUCUUAUUUACCUCGUAAAUUGGUUUCAAUGAGCCUUAGUUCGCCUAGGGCAUGUUUUUCGCCUCUUCCAUCCCAAUUAAAGGACUCGAGGAGGCAGCCUGUAAAAAUAUUUCUAAAAACGUUUUCGAUGUCAUCGGAUGCACCCUUCAGUUUGUAGAUAUACGUGAAUGUGCGGGUUGUUGCGAAAAAUCGUGAAAGAGAUGAUGCAAGAGAGGAAUGAGGAGAAACUUGUCGCCAUGAGGGAUGCAGAAAUACUUAUGAUCUAUAUCUUCUUUUGAUAUUUCACUAACAUCAUUACUUAAAUUACUAGCCAAAACAAUUCCCAGACUGUUGGCAGACUCAAAAGGUGUCUCAAAAUAGUUCUCUAUUUUCUUAAAAGCUUUACAUAUAUAUUUUUUCGCUUUGUUUGAUGUGUUAGUGCUUAUAGCUUUCAUGGGUCCAUAUUUUUUACUAAAACAAAAAGAAUCCUUUUCUUUAAUGGGAUUAAUUUCAAAUGUUCCUAUUUUCGAUGCCUUAUUGAAAUCGUCGCAAAAUGUAUGUCUUUCAUUGAGACGUAAGAAUAUUUGUUGCAAUAUUUUGUUUAUUAACAAUUUUUUUAAGAAACUGCAUAUAAUUUUCAAACUUAUAUGCUGAAAAGGUAUCUAAUGGACCAAACUGUUUAAGACAUUCCGACAAAUGGAGCAGACCAUGUAUAUUAAAGCUAACCAACUCAUCUCCAUAUAUGCUCCCAAAAUAAUUUACAAAAUCAUUUAAAACUUCUUGAGCUGUAUCUGCCUCAACUCUAUAGGACCUUUCACAUGAAAGAAGUCUUAUGGCACUAUGUAACAGCAAAAAAUGAUAGUAUAAAUCGCUAUUAAUACAAUCUUUUAAAAGAUACAUUCCAGUGUAUAAUAAAAAUUGCCUAAACUCAGUAGAUUUCCAAUGAUUUAUUUAUAAUAUAAUUAAUUUUUUUAUUAAUCUUUUUUACAUCACUUUUUUUAACUAGUAACUUUAGUAGUUUUUAGUGACUCCCAGAUCCACUAAUUUCAUAGAGUCUAAAGUAAAUUGUGAAACCAUUCCGAACCCGGACUCCUCCAUAAUGCUUUUUUUUGUUUUAAAAUCAUCGAGAUGAUGAGAUGGACUAGUUCUUAGCGCGUAGGUUAAAUCUGUCCUAGGUAAACCAACCUGCUUUGAGAAACAUACUCUUCUGUAUCUGUAUGUUCCUUCCUGACAACAUUUAGGGCAACCAUAUUUACCAUUAUGUGAAAUAACAUUUGUGACAAAAGCCCUAGCAGGAGUAUCACAUGAAAAUAAACGAACAUUAAAUUUUUUUAAACUUUGGUUUUGACCAACUUCAAUUCCGUUUUCCUUUAAAAGCCUUACUUCCGCACAAAAAUUUGCCGUAAAAGAAUUGAUAUUAUCCGGUUUUUUAAAACCAGAAAAACAAGCAAUCAAAAAUGGUGUCCCAUUUGGUAAGUUUGAAAUAGCCCAAGUAUGGGCCACAAAACUCGGUUAGAACUUUUAAAGAGUUUUAAGCCAUCAAUACCUAUAUCAAGCAAUAUUUCUUCCAAAUUUUAAAAAAGGUUUGCGGUGUUAUAAAGAAAAUAUUUUUGUAUACCUAUAUAAAGGAACUCGCCAUUAGACAUAGUCUCAACGUUAACCGUUUACCUGUUUGUAUUUAAAAGAGUUUUUGCUGAAAGUGGCAAAUCUUUAACUCCUAUCUUACGCAAAGUUUUUAAUAAAUCCUCUGAGGGACAUUAUUUCUAAUAGCCCAUAACCUAAUUUCACUCGCUUUCGUCUCAGAUUCUAAUUUGUUAUCUGAACACCAAAUAUCUCGUAAGGAUGAUGAAGCUGAAAUCCCAACUGCUUCUUUUGUUGGUGAGAAGGCCGAAGUAAAAGCAUCAUCC